UACGAGGGAUUUGGAAUAUCGGAGGCAUCGGGUGCGUGCCCGGGGGGAGAAGAGAAGAUUCUCCUACCGCAUAGAAUUUGUAUGCGCGCGGGCGUUAGAUGCCAUCUUAUUCGAAAGCUAAAGCGGGUCACCAGCGCAGCACGCGCAGUCUGACGCUCGGAGUUGUCGAGACUUGGCGGCGACGAUUUAUAAAUAGCGUAGAGGGAUAAGGGGAGAGAGAAGAAACAUCAAGUACAGGUUUGAAAAGGAGCGAGUGAAGGCGAACCGAGACCUGGGGAAAUUUAGUAAAGAGAAGAGCUAAGGGCCUUCUUCUAGUGAAGUCCUUCCAAGCAGGCUUGGUCAAUUGGCAUAUAGCAAAUCUAGAAAUCCAAGACCAGAUCCGGAGAAAUUCUGGGAUUCAUGCCAAGCAAGACGAAUUUAGAGGCGUUCAAUUGGUUGAUACUGCAAUCUUUUCCAGAGCGAGAGGCAUCUUGUAAUAGGCGCGCCCAGUGUUGGUUACAUGAGCCAGGACACCGCAAACUGGAGGUUUGUCUGCCAUGGAGAAAUCCAAGGACCGCGACUUCAACCUGACCUCUUAAGCACCGCUGCCAAGCAAGGUAACACAGUGUUCCAAGAACUUACGAACUUAUGCUUUGCUGUUCUCGACUGUACGACUUGAACUCCCUCUAAUUCUUCUCCCGUGGAUCAAUAGGUGUAAGGACUUUCUUCACAACUCACGUAGGGGUUAUUUUAAAAUGUCUAUGAGCAUAUAUAAAUGUCCAUCUCUUUCUGUAUCCAUCCGUGGCCAUCCAUCCAAGUGCUGGUUGCGAAUUUUUUCCCAAUAGGGGGAGGCAAGUUUUAUCCAUCCAAUUUGUCAGGACAUGAUGGACAAAAGAAAAUUGUUAUUACGAUGCUU